rnacentral:lncRNA from 1 species
AGCCCGUUCCCACCUUCAAUUGCUUCGCUUUUCUCUAGUCACAUCGACCUAGAUGUAGAGGAAGACCAACAAAUGGAGUCGUUUGACCAUAUGAUGUCUCACUCCGUCACUGCUUAUGUGUGUUUCUUGCGUGAUAGAUGCGGAAGCGAUAGGUAGGUAAGCAAGGCGGAGGGUCGGGUGGCUCUAGCACUCCGGCGGCAAAGACAGGCCACCCUUUUAGAAGCGUUGAUACAACUGACUGGCGAUCGGUCACCACUACCACUAAUCUCCUUCUUCCACCGUUGCUUACGGUGUUCUCUUUUUCCUCUCCCAAUGAAAUUCAUUCUUUACAGGCAUCCCUUUUGAUCUUCCAACUUUUAUCUCUCCGUCUAUUCCACACUAUCUGGGUUUAUUUCCGGAUCUGACUUCAUUUUUUUUGUUCGUUUCCGACUUCUUGGGGUUUAUCCUUCCGCCUUGUCGUCAAGUGAGGGUUUAUCGAUUAAUUUUACCGUCCGUUUUUCAUUUCGAUUUUCUCCAUAAGGGUAACGUUUCACUUAAGGAUUUAUUUUCCCUUUUUUGAAAUCGCAAUUGGACUUGAAUGGCUGCUGGUCACCAGAUAUAUAAUAAUCUACUUCUUGUCUGAUGGGUCUAUUUCUUUUUCUUUUAUUUGAUUGGUUUUGAUUUCUGUUUGCUUAAGUAGCUUUCAGACCAUCAGCAAGAACAACUGUAGUCUCUACCUGUGGAGCUUUGGGAAUCAUGAAGAGAUAACGUCGAAGUUAUCAACGUCUCUCAAUUCCUGUGGAUAAAAACCCUCAAGGCAGCUUCAGUCGAGGACAUGAUUCAUAUAAGAGCAUCGUCUUCCUUUUUAUGACUUUCAAAUUUCAGUUCUUAUCCUUAUGGCACCAUAUUUGUGCUUAUGUUGGCUUUUUUUUUGGGCUGUUUGAAUCUCAGAUUGUUAAUGACUUCAUUUGAAGAUCAUUGAGCUUAGGAUUCCAGUUUGUUAAUAGGGUGAUAAAGGUAUUGGAAGAAUCUGGAAUCGUAUGCUAAGUUUGAUUAGACGUUGAAACAUUUUCCCACCAACUGUUUGUUAAAUUUUUUACUGAAUUCUCAUAUUUUUAUGUGGUUUGUAACUGAUACUGAUCAUUUAUUGGUUUAUGAGAUUUAUUCAAAUAAAGAAAUCAAAGAAUAAAAUAUUGGUUUUUGUUUUUGAAUCCCAGGUACACCUUUGGCAAAUGUUAUUUUUUGGAGCGAGCUUUUGACUGAUACUAUUAAGGUUAGUAAUAUAAUAUUGCACAUAAAAAUUGAUUAAUUGUUUGCGUAUUAGAUUUGUGAUUUUCUUUGUGGUUAUUCACUUGUUUGUAUAAAUAAGAUUUAAGGGCCUUACGAGGCUAAGUGUAUUCUUUCAUGGAAAUUGAAAUGAUGAUAAGUAAGAUGUGCUAUGUGCGAGAAAUGGUCUGGUAUAAUUAAAGUGAUGAUCCUCCGAUGAACACGUAACAAUUUAGUUUUUUUUAUUGAGAAAAUCAACAUACGGUGUUGUCGAAUACUUUCCACAGGUAUAGUUUCAGUAUAUAUACUUAUUGCAUUAUAAUUUUGGAAUUUAAAUGUUUUAAACUUUUUAAUUCUUUUUUCAAACGUAUAAUCAGAGGCUAAGUGUAUUCUUUCAUCACAAUUCUAACAUUUUUGUUUAUUAUUCUUAAAACAUUGUUUUUGAGCUUGAUAUGUUUAAGUAGUUUGAGUUUUCUUGACCGUUGGAGCUAUCUUAAAUAUAGUUUUUUUUUUUUUUUCUACUUUUACUUUUGAAGUACUAGCUUCAUUCUUUUAUCAAGAUGGUCAUAACACGAGGAUCUUUUUAAUUAUAAGGAUUCAUUAUUAUUAUCAAGAUGGUCAAACCACCUGGUGGUCGUGUUGUAGAAGAAUGAAGACAAAAUAGUCGUGAAAAAGGCCAUCGUCAUGUCAUUACGACUAACCUGUCAUGUCGUAAUGAACGCACUAAACAACUUAAUGCCUUGUGCUCUUAAUCCUUCAAGCCAAGCAAACAAGGUUUCAAUAAGGCUUUCUCCAUCUCAAAAUACUAUAAAAUUCAUAGUUGUUUUGAUAUACAUAUCCAAGGCAUGUUCUAAACACCAGCUAGGUCAAAAUGAAUGGAAAAUGAGAUCAACUCUCAUGUAUAGAACUCAAAGCUCACUAGUAUUAUAGAUCUAGGACAAAGGGAUAAAAGGGAGUGUCAAGAACUCAUAAAUUUGUGAACUUUAUAAGUUUCCAACACUCAAACACCCUCAAAAAGUGAGAAAAAUGAACCAAACCCUAAAUCUAAAAUGCUUGAGAAAAAAAGAUAGGAACUUGAGGACUUACAAGAGCCCUAAUGUAACUCAAGAUGAUGAGGGAGUGGCUCUCUAGCGGAGAUGAUGUACCAAUAUUCCUUAUCUUUUUCUUCAAGGCUUCAAAUUACCCAAAAAAAGGGCUUAGAGAUCAAAUACGGAGGAUUAGGAUUUCUUCAAGGAGAAGGGAAGUGAAAGAGGUUGAGGUUGUGUAAACCCUAGCCGCUCACUUCCCUUAAAUAUGGGACAACUUCGAAAUUAGGGUUUUUCACGCAAAGGUUGUCACGUCGUGACCAGCAUGUGUGUCACGUCGUGAGAGCCAAUAAGAUGCGUGUUCCUCAUCGAGCACCGUCAGUCGUGACACAAAUGUACUCACGUCAUAACUAAGGAUUCAAUCCUUAAAAGCUAAAUAAUUAUUCAAAGGUGAUGCUUACCUUGAACUGGGUGUUACAAUUCUCGCCCACUUGAACUAGAUUUCGUCGUCGAAAUCCUCAGCUACAAAUAGAUAUGGUUAGUGCUCGUGCAUCUCUGACUUGGGCUCCUAAGUCCACUAGGAACCCUUCUGAUUCUGCCAUUAAACGUUGACUAAGGGCACCACCUUUUUAUGCAAGGCCUUCUUCUUCUUAUCCAGAAUAGCCAUCGGCUUCUCCACAUAAUUCAAGUGCUUAUACACCUGAAUGUCAUAUAUUGGGACCACCGCUAUAUCAUCAACCAAGGACUUCCGAAGCUGAAAUACAUGGAUGGUAAUAUGAAUCUGACUAAGCUCCUCAUGCAAAUCCAACCGAUAGGCCACUUUGCCUAUCCUUGCCACUACUCCUAAAGGUAUGAUAAAUCGGGGGCCAAACUUGACCUUCUUCCUGAAGCGUAUAACACCCUUCCAUGAUGAUAUCUUUAGUAGAACCACGUCCCUAACCUGAAGAUCCAACUCAGGCCUUUGCCUAUCAGUGUAACUAUUAUGCCGGCUCUUGCUAUCUAUAACCUCUGCCUGAUUUGAUGAAUAAGUUUUUUCGUUUGGAGAACCACCUGAAUCCUCCUUAUUACCCUAUGACAGACCUCUCCCUGAUAAAUUGGAGUACGACACUUCCUCCCAUAUAAAAGCAUGUACGGAGGUGCACCAAUGUUGGAAUGAUAGAUGUUGUUGUAAGAAAAUUCAGCUAGGGGAGGUAUGAGUCCCACCUCCUACCGAAAUCAAUGACACAAGCCUUGAACAUAUCCUCGAGUGUAUGAAUAGUCAACUCACUCUGGUCAUUAGUCUGACGGUGAUAACUGGUGCAGAAGUGUAGUCUCGUACCUUACUACUCGUGAAAACUUUUUCCCUUGGCACACAACACACGACUGGAUUUCCUCGGGUUUGUUUGCCUAUAGCACAAAGUCGUACCUCCUCAAACCAACCGCAUUAUGUCGACAUAUACAAGCAGAUAAACAAUAGCCAUCAAUACAGAUAAUCAUACAAAUUUACCAAUCUAACAUAUUACUUUAUUAUACCAAUUUCCAAUACAAAAUGACACAUACAUCAAUAUAAAGUAUAAUGAGAAAACUCACCUUCCAGCCUAGAUGAUAUGAACACUGAUCACAGAUCCUAUAACCAACACUACAUGUCACUUAUACAUCAAAUAAGGACCACAUCUCAAAACUACAACCCAAAACCCAAAACUUGACUUGAAGUCAAACCUAGUCUAAAAGUCAAUGGUCAAUGUCAAAGUCAACACUCAAGAGUUAUUCAGCUAGUUGCCACAUCGUGACCCCCUGUUGGUCACAUCAUGGCAGAAUGAAGACAAAGUGGUCAUCAAAACAUGGCAUCGUCACGUUACUCCGACCAACUCGUCACGUCAUGAAUAACAAACUGAACAACUUAAUGUCUUACGCUCCUAAUCCUACAAGCCAAGCAACCAAACUUUCCAAAAGGCUUUCUCUAUCUCAAACUACCAGACAUGCAUGUCCAAUGAAUGUCCUAAACACCAACUACGUCAAAAUGAAAGGAAAAUGAAAUCAAAUCCCACGUAUGGAACCCAAAGCUCACUAAUAUUCCAUAUAUGGGAAAAUGGAUACAAGGGAGUCACAAGAACUAAUAAAAUUGUCAACUUCAUGAGUUUUCAACACUCAAACUCCCUCAAAAGGUGAGGAAAGUGAACCAAACCCUACAUCUAACAUGCUUGAUCUAAAAAGACAGGAACUUGAGGACAUACAUGAGUCCUAAUACAACUCAAGAUGAUGAGGGAGUGGCUUCCUAGCUGAGAUGAUGCACAAAAAUGCCUUCUCUUCUUCUUCUUCUUCUUCUAGUAUUCAAAUCAUCAAAAAAGGGCUCAAAGAUCAAAUAUGGAAGAAUAGGGUUUCUUGUGGGAGAAUGGAUGUGAUGGAGGUUGAUGGUGUGCAAACACUAGCCCCUAACUUUCCUUAAAUGGGGGACCAACCUCAAAAUUAUGGUUUUCCAUGCAAAGGCUAUCACGUCGUGACCAACAUAUGUGUCACGUCGUGAUAACCAAUGAGAUUGGCGUUCCUCACGGGGCAACGUCCUGUCAUGACAAAAAUGUGCUCAUGUCAUGACUAAGGCUUCCAUCCUUAAAACACAAAUAAUUAUUUAGAAGUGAUGCUUAAACGGGUGUUACAUGAUAAGUUAUUGGUGUGAAUUAUAUAUCGACAUAAAAUUUUAUAUAGGAUAAUGAUUAUAUUAUAACACAAAUUAGGGGAUAUGCUUGUCUGAACAUGGACGUGAGGAUAAUGAGCUUGAAAAUGACAAACACCUAAUCAUAGAUACUAUUCUAAACAACAUAAAAUCAUAUAUAUAUAUAUANAUAUAUAUAUAUAUAUAUGACAUCCCCAAAUUAACGAUCAUUUUAAAAUUUUAAUUUAUGCUUAUUUUAAAAUCAGAGUAUCAUUUUUAAAGAACAAUGUUGCAAAAUUUGUUCCCAAAAAAAACAUGAUAAAUAUGUUAUCAAAUCAUUUCCAAAGAAAUGUAUUUUAUUUAUUCUAAAACUUUGGGAUGUCAUCGUCACUACAAAAGCAUAAACAUAAACAGAACUUACAUUCAUUUACACUAGUGAUCUACAUCUCUUUAAUCUCCCGGUGUAGUGUAGCUUUAUAUCGACACCUGUGAUAGAAAUAAAUUGAGAGGGUCAGGUUGGGAAACCUGGUGAGUACAUAGAGUUUUCAACCCACAAUAAUAAAGUUAUUAUGUUUAAUCAUCAAAAAAUAAACCCAAUUACACAUUGUCAAUAUCUUCUUUAUUUUUAAGUAUCUUCCCUAAGAAUCAUCUAUUCCUCAUUAUAUAUUCCUAAGGAUUGUCCUAAAGAAUGGGCACGAAGUCCAUUGUUGUCAGGGUUUGUAUAACAAGCACUAAGUCUAUAGUUGCAAAGGCUCAUCUAACCGACACUAAGUCCAUAGCUGUCAGGGUUUAUCUCAUUUAUUGAUUGUAUUAUUUUAGGGAGUCCACCCACAAUACAGGUCAAUGGGUUUUUAGAGUACCCAGGGUGAGGACAUCGUUCACAAAACCCACAAGUUGUGAGCCUGCUAGUGUUCCACUAGACUCUCUAGAAUAGUCUGUGGUUGUUAUAUGUAGUCUGCUAGAUGACAAGACCAUCGCUUUGGUCAUUGCUUGGGUCAUCGCUUGGGUCAUCGGUUCUCACUAUUAUUUACCACUCAUAUAUCAUCGCUCAUCAUUCAUCUCAAUCUACCCAUCUUUGACCUGUCAUAAUUAUAGGUAUAAAAUACAUAUACAGUUUAAAACAAUUAAAACAUGUAUAUUUUUGUUCAUCCAACAUAAAUAUUAAGUACACAUAUAAUAUGCACACAUAGCAUGAAAUUUAUAUUAAAUACUUCAUAUCUAUGUGUAAGAUAAAAGUAACUAUAUGCUCACUUGUUAAAGUGAUGACUCCAAACUUGGACAGCGCUCCGCUUCUUAAUAUAAUUUCCUUCGAUGAAACUAAAUAUUAUUACCACUAGAUUUUAGUCUAAUGUUUCUCAUGACUAAUUACUAGUUUUAGUAUUAUUAUUUAUAUAAGUGUUUGGCAAUGCUUUUCAACCACUAUGUACAGACAAGGCUAGACAUAAAACACCAGAGGGCAGGACCAUCUUGGCAUAUAGCACUUAUGAAAUCCAACAAGCCUAUACGGCCCUUUAAACCAGAUUCCCUAUACGGCGAGUAGUUAAAAACUAUAUAUUAACACUUUUUAUUUAUAUANNNNNNNNNNNNNNNNNNNNNNNNNNNNNNNNNNNNNNNNNNNNNNNNNNNNCAUUGAUGAAUCUUUCUAAAAAGAUUCUUGAAGCGCUUCUAUGCUCAUCUUCCCAUACUAAAACUACAAAAAGAGAAGUCAAAUCACGAGGGACCGAAAUGCUCGGGAGAUAAGAAGAGAAAGACUCUUGAAUCAAGAGAAUGGUGCAAGAAGUAGGAGAGCCUAGAGGCUCUUAUUUAUAGUAAUUAAAUUUUCAAAAAUUAUCCUGUAUAGUUACUUAAUGACCUUAUAGUUAUAUAAACGACCAAACACCCCUUUAUAAUACAAUUUUUAAUAGAUUUAAUGAUAUUUAUACUAAACUAAUGUCGAAAGUCCUCAACACUAGUCUUAUAACGACCGCAUCGUCGAUACCUUUAUAUGCAUAUAUANNNNNNNNNNNNNNNNNNNNNNNNNNNNNNNNNNNNNNNNNNNNNNNNNNNNNNNNNNNNNNNNNNNNNNNNNNNNNNNNNNNNNNNNNNNNNNNNNNNNNNNNNNNNNNAUAUAUAUAUAUAUAUAUAUAUAUAUACACAUGUAUAUAUGAUUUAUACUUUAUUUUAAUAUGUAAAUAUGCUAUUAUAAUUUAUAACUCAUUCAUAGUAACUCUGUUUUUGACGUUCUUUAUAUUUUUAUUUUUCAUCAAUAUUUUUAUAAAAUUAAAUGACUUUGCUAAAAUCAUAACUCUCUCAAACGGACUCAAUUUGUGGCAUUCUUUUUCUCAACAUUCCUAUUUUAAGGAAUACUAUGAUUUACGUUUUGGUGUCAUUAGCUAAAAGUCAACCAUUCUCUUUGUAGCUUUUUAUGUCACAUAUUCCUUGUGUGCGGGUGACUUUUAUAUCUUAUAAAAAUAAUAUCUAAUUCAUAAGGAUUCACAUUUCGAAGAAAUUUAUAUUUUAGGGAUCGGAAAAGACGUGAUAUUCGCCGCAUCACGUGGGACGACAUAAUUAUAAUUAAUAUAUAAAUUGUAGGUGUUGUAUAUUCAAAUUAUAGUCUUUCAUAAAAUUACU